rnacentral:rRNA from 1 species
UACGUAGGUGGCAAGCGUUAUCCGGAAUUAUUGGGCGUAAAGCGCUCGCAGGCGGUUUCUUAAGUCUGAUGUGAAAGCCCACGGCUCAACCGUGGAGGGUCAUUGGAAACUGGGAGACUUGAGUGCAGAAGAGGAGAGUGGAAUUCCUGGUGUAGCAGUGAAAUGCGUAGAUAUCAGGAGGAACACCGAUGGCGAAGGCAGGUCUCUGGGCUGACACUGACGCUCAUGCACGAAAGCGUGGGGAGCAAACAGG